AAAAAAGCUGUCCGAUGAACCACAUGGAUGAGCUAUCCAGUGACUAGAAAACAUACAACAUCACACGUAAGAUUCCCUUUCAUGUUUGAAAUUCAAAAAGUUUUAUCUACAAAAACGUUAAUUCAAUCGAUGAUCCGCUUUCACCAUUGACUUUCUCGCGACGAGUUCUUCGAAACUAGAUCUCAUGUUGAUAUGUUCUGUCAACUUUUUUUCGUUCAUACUUGCCACAUUUUUGGACCCACUUGUCAUAUUAUUAACCAC
rnacentral:lncRNA from 1 species